rnacentral:sRNA from 1 species
UGUUUUGGUGCAUGACGUAUAUGUGUCU